rnacentral:rRNA from 1 species
UCCGUAGGGGGCUAGCGUUGUCCGGAUUUAUUGGGCGUAAAGAGCGUGUAGGCGGCCCUGUAGGUCUGCUGUGAAAACUCGAGGCUCAACCUCGAGACGUCGGCGGAAACCAUCUGGCUAGAGUCCGGAAGAGGAGAAUGGAAUUCCCGGUGUAGCGGUGAAAUGCGCAUAUAUCGGGAAGAACACCCGUGGCGAAGGCGGUUCUCUGGGACGGUACUGACGCUGAGGUGCGAAAGCGUGGGGAGCAAACAGG